rnacentral:lncRNA from 1 species
UUGGAAAACAAGAAGAAAAUUUCAAAACAGGCCAUUCAUGUUUUUUAUUAUUAUGUCAAACUGACUGAACUACACAGGUCUGAUUCUCAUCGGAUGUGGGAUACGUACGAAACCUAUAUAGGGUUCGGCCUCAUUUUUGCAAAACUAACCAAAUAAAAUGAAGUGUAGUUAGCGCUCUGGUCAAAACAAUAAGCCGACCCAGCAUUGGUUAUGUCUUAAGCCGUUCUUGCCGAGAUAGGCUCAAAAUAUUUUUCAAUUGUCGGAGUGAUAUUUUUGUAGAGAACGAACAAGUCUGUUAGUGAGGUCAUUUUUUUCCUUGGCCUCAAAAUUUACUUGGAAUUGUAAAUGGACCACAUUUAAAAAAAUAACCACUUUUGUGUAGAUG